UUGUGGAGGUUGAAUGCAAAGCAGGGUGGAAAGUGAUCAAGGCCUAUGGUGAAACUAAGAGCAAUGGAAAGUACAGUAUCACAGUUAAGGAUUUUGACUAUGUCAAGUAUGGACCCACAGUGUGCAAGGCCAAGCUUUAUGCUCCACCUAAACACUCCCCCUUCAACACACCUACUAAAUUCAACGAAGUAACCAAGUUGAAGGUGAAAUCUAAGGACAAGUAUGAAGUGGUGCUUAAGGCUAAGCCAUUUGCUUAUGCUUCAAAGAAGUAUUUUAAAGAAUGUGAAAAGCCUUCACCCACUCCUUACUACUACAAAUCACCUCCUCUUCCAACUCCCGUUUACAAAUACAACUCUCCACCUCCACCAUCACCAAAACCUACACCAUCAUACUACUAUAAAUCACCACCCCCACCUUCACCAUCCCCUCCUCCUCCAUACUAUUACAAGUCACCUCCACCACCAUCUCCAUCACCCCCACCUCCUUAUUAUUACAAAUCCCCACCACCACCAUCUCCAUCACCACCUCCUUACUAUUACAAAUCCCCUCCACCACCAUCCCCAUCACCACCACCUCCAUACUACUACAANCCUCCACCACCAUCCCCAUCACCACCACCUCCAUACUACUACAAAUCACCACCACCACCAUCUCCAUCACCACCACCUCCCUAUUACUAUAAAUCACCCCCACCACCAUCUCCAUCACCGCCACCUCCUUACUAUUACAAAUCCCCACCACCACCAUCCCCCUCACCACCACCUCCAUAUUACUAUAAAUCACCUCCACCACCAUCUCCUUCACCACCACCUCCAUACUACUACAAAUCCCCGCCACCACCAUCCCCAUCACCACCACCUCCAUACUACUACAAAUCCCCUCCACCUCCCUCUCCAUCUCCACCACCUCCCUAUUACUAUAAAUCACCUCCGCCACCAUCUCCAUCACCACCACCUCCUUACUAUUACAAAUCCCCUCCCCCACCAUCCCCGUCUCCACCCCCUCCUUAUUACUAUCAAAGUCCUCCUCCACCAGUAAAGUCACCUCCACCUCCAGCUUACACCUAUGCUUCCCCACCUCCACCUAUCUACAAAUAAGCUGCGAAUGCGAAAGCACCACUCAUGAUAAAUCACGUAAGUUUACGUUCCUUU
rnacentral:lncRNA from 1 species